AAGUAGUGAAGUAAAAUAUUACAUUUAGUUUCGACCUAAAAAUAGAGCCAUCUCCUUACUUU
rnacentral:tRNA from 2 species